GCAGAGGAUGGACUCAUCUCCCCACUCAUGUGCCUUUAACCUGUCAUGGAGGGAUUAGCUGUCUUUGAGUGGUAGAAUUAUUCAGUUUUCCCAAGGGACGGCAUCCUUUGUAUCCCAGGCAUAGUGAGGAGUCACCAUGGAUGGAGGCACCAAGUGUCACAAAAAAGAACCCAAGAUUCAACCCAUGCAAGGAGAAGGGAAAAGCCACCUCAAGGAGCAACCAUCAGGGAGGAGAUAUUCAUCUUGAGAUGUACAGAGGUUAUGCACUUCGUUUCUUAUCCUGCAAGAUGCUGAGAACCAAAACUCCCAGAGAAGCCAGUGAUGGCUGGAUACCUCUCAGGAGUAGGCCAUAUAUUGGCAUUUUUAAAAUCAGUUACCCUGAAUUCCUAGUAGACAGACAUCCACAUCACAAA